rnacentral:tRNA from 1 species
ACCUGAGUAGCUCAGUCGGUUAAGUGUCUGACUUUGGCUCAGGUCAUGAUCUCACGGUUCAUGGGUUCAAGCCCCAUGUUGGGCU